UAAAAAAAAAAGUCAACCAAGUUUCACUUUCAUCUCAAGCUUUUCCUUUACUGAUAGACACCAUAAAAUGCUGCGAUAUUUGUUGAAUUGCAAUUGAAUCAUCAUUCGAAUCAUUAUUUUUGCAAUUUUAAUGACACUCGGACUUUCUAUUAUUAUUGUCAGAGUUUAAUAGCAACAUUAAGUUAAUAAUAUGCUUUUAAUUGCAAUUUGCGUUCUAUUUGAAAGUGGCGGGAAUCAAUGAGUGUCUGUUGUCAAGGACAAUAUUUGUGGUUGUUACAUUUGAACAAAUUGUUUGUCAUCUUUUGCUAUUACAAUUUUUCUGUAAUUUCAUUUUCUCAGUAUUCUUGGUGGACAUUUAAUGAUAUUACAAGUUAGCGUUUCCAAUCGGCCCCAAUGGUAGAGUUGAUGAUGGUUAAAUUGAUAUUAACAAAUGUUAAACUUCUUCUCGAUUGAUUAUUUUUCACCGCGGUAAAGCAGUUUAAACAUUUAUGUCAUUUAUGUCAUCAACUAAAUUAACUUAUUCACUUCAUCUAGCCACUUACCAGAUGAUAUAAAUGAUAACAGGUGCUUGUAAGGUAAUGUUGCUGUCAUUUCAAGAUUCAAGAUUGAUUAAAUGGAAGCGUAGUUGACUAAUCAAUAUUAUCCAGCAAAAAUA